rnacentral:rRNA from 1 species
GACGAACCGUGCGAACGUUGUUCGGAAUCACUGGGCUUAAAGGGCGCGUAGGCGGGUGGUUAAGUCAGGGGUGAAAUCCUCCCGCUCAACGGGAGAACAGCUUUUGAUACUGGCCAUCUUGAGUGGGGUAGGGGCAUGUGGAACUUCCGGUGGAGCGGUGAAAUGCGUAGAUAUCGGAAGGAACGCCGGUGGCGAAAGCGACGUGCUGGACCCUUUCUGACGCUGAGGCGCGAAAGCCAGGGGAGCAAACGGG